ACGGGGCGGAGAAGGUUUCCUGCACCCGCGGAGGGAGAGGGACUAGGAGGGGGCUGCGCGGGGGAGGGGAGGGGGCUUCCGGCCCAGGGACUGAGGCGAGGGUGGCGGGAGCGGCGCGCGGGCAGGGCUGGGGUGGGGCGCGCGGAGUGGAGAGCGCUGGGGGCGCUGGCGGCGGAGCCUUUGAGGUCUCCUGACCCAGUGGGCUGGGGCUGAGAGACCGAGCCGAGCUGCCGUGGGCGGCCGGGACAUGUGGGCACACGGGGGCUCCUCCUUUUUCCUCCCCGACGCCGGGCAGUGGGCGACGACGGCCUGGUCUUCUCCCUGGAACCUCAGGGCGGGGCCGGGCCUGGAGCUUGGGUCUCUGUCCGGAGGGGGGUGUCACGGAAAGAACUGGAGCUGAGAGUCGCGACUCCGCGGUCCCUUUAGGAGGCGGCCUGCCCCCGGCUUUCAGGGGUCUCCAAGCGCAGUGUUCUCCUGCCCUCCUUGGGCGUCGCUCAAUUCCUCCCGUACCUGAGGGUCGACCACCCCGCGGUGAUCUUGCAGUCCUGACAGCCUUACUGAAGAGUGGAGUGUGGGGACCAGCAGAGAGUAAUGAUUUUGGUUAUACAGUGCGCCCUCGUUUUACAUUGGAGAAACUGAGGCCCGGAGAAAGUAUCCGGCUGCAUUUGCAGGCUGCGGCACCGCUUCCCCCCCCCCCCCCCCACACACACACACUUACUCCCCCUUAGCUCUCCUGGUUAACCCUGUCGCAUGCCAAAGAAGGGAAAAGUAAGUGCAUGUGAGAUCAAUGGUGACCUUCUUCGGCUCCGGCUGCCAUAGCAGCGGCUGUGCCAGUGACCAAGCUCCCUUUCAGUGCCUUCUGCCAGCCCUCAGACUCCUAGGCCACUUCCAGCCCUGUAUGGAAAAGAGCAGCCUGGGACUCCCAGGCCGAGGGGGAAGGAGAUGAAGAGCUGUGCAGCAUUGUACGCCAGUGCCCGAGGACUCAGAAGACCUUGUAUCUGGAAAUUCAUGCUCUACAGGAGACCCUGGGGAAUUCAUGUUAUGCAGAAGCAGCCCUUCGUAGGGAGAGAGCAGUGAGGUCAGAUCAGGAACCUGAGGCCUGAAGAAGUUAGAUGACCUGGUUAUGGCCAACUGACUGAAUUCAAAGCCUGCCUGAUUCCACGGUCCCGGAUUCCACGGUCCAUGCUCCCUACUAAAAGACUCCUUUGGGCAGCAUUGUGUGACCACGCCAUGCAAGAUCCAGGUUCUGCCUUGGAGAGCUGAUGAUCCAAACCAGCAGGAGGCUAGACAAGUCCUGAUAAGGCCACUUAAAAAAAUAAUAAUACGGGUCUUGUUCCGUCACUCAGGCUGGAGUGUAGUGGCACAAUCACAGCUCAGUGCAGUCUUGACCUGCCAAGCUCAAGUGAUCCUCCCACCUUGGCCUCCCAGAGUGCUGGGAUUACAGGCCUCAGACAUGGUACUCAGCCCUUAUAAGGACUUUGAUGAAAGAGUACAGGGUGUGUGGUAAGAGUGGCUCCCAGAGGAGGGGCUGAGUUGUAUUCCAGCAGGAUUAGUUGGAUGGGGGCAGAGGGAAAGUUCAGGAUAAGGGAACAUUUCACCGAAGUGAGAACUUGUAGAAUAUCCUGACUUGUUAGGGGACUUGUAGGCAGUUUUUAUGUGGUCAUAUAUGUGGUGGGCAGGAUGGGGAAGGCGAAUUCAGUCAGAUGCCACCAAGGAGGCAGCAGGAGCCAGAGCUUAAAGGCCUUGAAUGCUGACCUAAGGGAUUGAAAUUCCUCCUGCAAGUAGUAGGGGGCUACUGAAGCUUGAAGCAGGGUAUGACACAAUCUCAUUUUCAUCUUACAAGCUCAUUUUCAUGACUGCAAUUUGGGCAAGAAAGACAGGGUGGUCCAUUGAGUAGGAGAUUGUUCCAGAAAUCCAGGUUGGAGGCAAUGCAACUUGCUGGACCACUGAACCAGGGCAGUGGUUAUGAAGAAGAUGAGGAUAGAGUCAAGAGCUAGAAAAGAGAUAGAGGGAUCAGGACUUGGAAUGAUUUAUUUAUUCAUUGAUUCAUCCAUUCAAAAAAUACCUGUUGGCCGGGCACAGUGGCUCACUCCUAUAAUCCCAGCACUUUGCGGGGGCCGAGCUGGGUAGAUCAUGAGGUCAAGAGAUCGAGACCAUCCUGGUGAACAAGGUGAAACCCCGUCUCUACUAAAAAUACAAAAAUUAGCUGGGCAUGGUGGUGCGAGCCUGUAGUCCCAGCUACUCGGGAGGCUGAGGCAGGAGAAUUGCUUGAACCCAGGAGGCGGAGGUUGCGGUGAGCCGAGAUCCUACCAUUGUGCUCCAGCCUGGGUAACAAGAGUGAAACUCCGCCUCAAAAAAAAGAAACAUUAAUUAAUUAAUUAAUUAAUUUUAAAAAUACCUGUUGUGGCUGGGCGUGGUGGCUCACGCCAAUCCCAGCAAUUUGGGAGGUAGAGGAGGACGGAUCACCUGAGGUCAGGAGUUUGAGACCAGCCUGGUCAAUGUGACAAAAACCCUGUCUCUACUAAAAAUACAAAAAUUAGCCAGGCAUUGUGGCACACACCUGUAAUCCCAGCUACUCAGAGGUGGAGGCAGGAGAAUCGCUUGAACCCAGGAGCCACUGUAUUCCAGUCUGGGUGACAGAGCAAGACUCCAUCUCAAAAAAAAAAUAGAAACUGGGGAGCCCAUUUUUAGAUAUGGUAUGCAUGGUGGGAGAAGCCUUUCUGAAGAGUGGAUAUUUCAGCUGAGACCUAAACGAUGACAAAAAAGACAGCCAUACAAAGAGGUGGGGAAGAAGGGGGAGGGCACUUCCUGCAAAAGAAAGAGCAAGUGCAAAGACUCUGGCACAAGAAAGGGCUUUGGGUAUUAAGGAACAUUGAGGAGGCCACUGUGACAAGCUUAGUGAGCAAGGGAGAGCAGUAGGCUUGAGGUCACAGUUCAAGGAAGGGGAAAUUGACCUCAGGCUAUGGUAAGGACUGUGGAUUUUAUUCUAAGAUGAAUAGUCUCAGGGAGGCAUUGAGGGUUUUUAACUACAGCAGCUGCAAAAUCUGAUUUAUACAUCUAAAAGACCCCAUGCAAGUAAACAAAUAAACAUGUUAACAACUCAAUGUGUUUUUUUGUUUUUGUUUUUUGUUUCUUGAGAUGGAGUCUCCCUCUGUCACCCAGGCUGGAUUGCAGUGGUGCAAUCUUGGCUCACCGCAACAUCCGCCUCCCGAGUUCAGGCAAUUCUCCUGCCUCAGCCUCCUGAGUAGCUGGGAUUACAGGCACGCGCCACCAUGCCCAGCUAAUUUUUUGUAUUUUUAGUAGAAACGGGGUUUCACCAUGUUGACCAGGAUGGUCUCGAUCUCUUGACCUCGUGAUCCAACCGCC